UACGUAGGGCGCAAGCGUUGUCCGGAAUUAUUGGGCGUAAAGAGCUCGUAGGCGGCUUGUCACGUCGGAUGUGAAAGCCCGGGGCUUAACUCCGGGUCUGCAUUCGAUACGGGCUAGCUAGAGUGUGGUAGGGGAGAUCGGAAUUCCUAGUGUAGCGGUGAAAUGCGCAGAUAUCAGGAGGAACACCGAUGGCGAAGGCAGGUCUCUGGGCAUUAACUGACGCUGAGGAGCGAAAGCAUGGGGAGCGAACAGG
rnacentral:rRNA from 1 species